CCAAGCAACAAGAAAGGACCUGCAUUCAAACACACAUAGCCACUGCUUCCUCUCAUAUUUUUUCCAUUUAGCACCUUCUGUUUCCUCUAGUUACCAAAUUUUGUCCUUGAGCCAGACACUUUAAACGUAUCAUAUCAUCAGUUACUCUGCUCCCAAUCUGUCUGUGGUGCUUAGCAUGAUCACCAUACGUGUCUUUAUCUAAAUUUGGCUUUGGCUUGCUCAAAGGCAACAGAAAGUAAGGCUUAUGAGGUCAUUGUGUUACAUACUUGGAUCCAUAUAUAACAUUUUCCAGCAGUAGUCCGGAAAUUCAAAACAUCAUUUGAUGAUGAUUUAAUGGCCUUCUUUGUGACUGCAGUUGAAAUGUAAUUGUUGGAGUAGAACUGUGACAUCUUAUUGGAGAUUAAAUAAGACUUCAUUUUGUUUCGUCUUCUUUGGGUGCAUGCGACUAUAAUGCCGCUAAGGUCACUGUCAAUUUGCAGAUCAACUUUUGUUCUCUUCAUCCUUGACGUGCAACUGAAUACCUAGGCGUACAGCACUUCGAUGGGUCAUCCUGUUUCUGAUGAAGCUGAAAAUAAGGAAAUGGACAUCACCAGCUUUCCUUCCUCGCGCCGCCGGACUGAGAAUGAGCCAUAUGUUUACAAGGUGGGAUAUCCCCCUAGGAAGAAGUUGGCGAGAGAGUUCGCAGACACAUUGAAGGAAGCACUCUUUCCAGAUGACCCUUUACGCCAAUACAGGGACCAACCAAGAUCAAGAAAGUUCAUGCUAGGCCUAGCAUACUUGUUUCCGAUUUUAGACUGGGGAAGAGGCUACAACUUAGUCAAGUUCAAAGGAGACAUCAUUGCAGGACUCACCAUUGCAAGUCUCUGUAUUCCUCAGGACAUCGGGUAUGCAAAACUUGCUAAUUUGGAUCCACAAUAUGGACUCUACUCUAGUUUUGUGCCGCCACUGAUCUAUGCUGCUAUGGGGAGCUCCAGAGACAUUGCUAUCGGACCGGUAGCAGUUGUAUCUCUCCUGAUGGGAUCCCUGCUCCAAGAUGAGGUUGAUCCAGUGAAAAAUAAGGAGGAAUAUCUACGGCUUGCUUUCACAGCAACUUUCUUUGCUGGUAUUACCCAGGCAGCGCUUGGAUUUCUGAGGUUGGGCUUCCUGAUUGACUUCCUAUCUCAUGCUGCCAUUGUUGGAUUCAUGGGUGGUGCAGCCAUCACGAUUGCCAUCCAACAGCUAAAAUUAUUAUUCGGUAUAAAGAACUUUACGAAGAAAACAGACAUUGUUUCUGUUAUGAGGUCUGUGUGGGGUUCAGUUCAUCAUGGGUGGAACUGGCAGACGAUACUCAUAGGCACAGUCUUCUUGGCAUUCCUUCUGACUGCUAAGUACAUAGGAAAGAAGAACAAGAAGUUCUUCUGGCUGCCUGCAAUUGCCCCAUUGAUCUCUGUUAUACUGGCCACAUUUUUUGUGUACAUUACCCAUGCGGAAAAGCACGGUGUUCAAAUAGUGAGGCACAUAAAGAAGGGCAUCAAUCCAUCAUCCUUCAAUAAGAUAUACUUCACUGGUCCAUAUGCUGGGAAAGGUUUUAGGAUAGGCGUUGUCACUGGCAUGAUAGCCUUGACGGAAGCUACAGCUAUUGGAAGAACGUUUGCUGCUUUGAAGGACUAUCAGUUGGAUGGAAACAAAGAGAUGGUUGCAUUAGGAACGAUGAAUGUUGCUGGUUCGAUGACUUCUUGUUAUUGUGCAACAGGCUCUUUCUCACGAUCGGCGGUCAAUUUCAUGGCUGGCUGCCAAACACCCAUCUCCAACGUAGUCAUGUCAACAGUAGUACUCUUAACCUUGCUACUGAUCACUCCGCUCUUCAAAUACACUCCAAAUUCCAUCCUUGCAUCUAUCAUCAUUACGGCUGUGAUCGGCCUCCUUGACUUCGAAGCAGCAUAUCUUAUCUGGAAGACUGAUAAAUUUGACUUUGUUGCCUGCAUGGGAGCAUUCUUUGGUGUAGUAUUUAAGUCGGUUGAGAUUGGCCUCUUGAUCGCUGUCUCAAUAUCAUUUGCAAAGAUCCUACUCCAAGUAACAAGACCAAGAACAGCUUUACUUGGAAAUCUCCCAGGUACUACAAUAUACAGGAACAUCGAACAAUACCCAGAGGCGUCGAAAGUGCCAGGAGUCCUGAUUGUGAGAGUUGAUUCUGCUAUCUAUUUUUCCAACUCCAACUAUAUCAGGGAGAGAAUUUUGAGAUGGUUAGCAGAUGAAGAAGAGGAAAUGGAAGCGAGAGAACUGCCUAGAAUCAACUUCCUGAUUGUGGAGAUGUCUCCGGUGACUGAUAUUGAUACCAGUGGCAUCCAUGCCUUUGAAGAAAUGUUGAAGAGUCUUGAAAAGCGGAAGGUUCAGCUUAUACUUGCCAAUCCCGGGCCUGUAGUGAUCGAAAAGCUUCAGACAUCCAAAUUCACGGAACUGAUAGGCCAUGAUAAGAUCUUUCUCACGGUUGCUGAUGCAGUCAUGAGUUGCGCCCCCAAGGAGAUGGUUGAUGUUUGAAGAAAAUGAAGACUUCUUGUUCAUUUGUGUACUAUAACUGGGACAAUGGUUGCUCUUACAAACCUGUUUCUGUAACCCCGUAGACAUUUCUGUGGCUGCCCACAAAUCAAUUUGUUCAAGUGCUACACAAGAGGAGGUUCCUGUUGAGAAGAGAAGGUCGCUUCUG